rnacentral:rRNA from 1 species
AGCGAACGCUGGCGGCAGGCCUAACACAUGCAAGUCGAACGAACCUUUCGGGGUUAGUGGCGGACGGGUGAGUAACACGUGGGAACGUGCCUUUAGGUUCGGAAUAACUCAGGGAAACUUGUGCUAAUACCGAAUGUGCCCUUCGGGGAAAGAUUAAUCGCCUUUAGAGCGGCCCGCGUCUGAUUAGCUAGUUGGUUGAGGUAAUGGCUCACCAAGGCGACGAUCAGUAGCUGGUCUGAGAGGAUGAUCAGCCACAUUGGGACUGAGACACGGCCCAAACUCCUACGGGAGGCAGCAGUGGGGAAUCUUGCGCAAUGGGCGAAAGCCUGACGCAGCCAUGCCGCGUGAAUGAUGAAGGUCGUAGGAUUGUAAAAUUCUUUCACCGGGGACGAUAAUGACGGUACUCGGAAAAGAAGCCCCGGCUAACUACGUG